UAUCUCUGUAGAGUCUGCAUAUCAAUAAGCGGAGGAAAAGAAACUAACAAGGAUUCCCUUAGUAACGGCGAGUGAAGCGGGAAGAGCUUCAAAUUUGAAAUCUUCAAGGUUCUACCUUGACGAAUUGUAGUUUAAAGAAGUGUUUUCUGUUAGAUGAGUAGCAAAAGUUCCUUGGAAUGGGACAUCAUAGAGGGUGAGAAUCCCGUAUUUGGUUAUUCAUUCUAGCUUUGUGAUACACUUUCAAGGAGUCGGAUUGUUUGGGAAUGCAGUCCAAAAUGGGUGGUAAAUUUCAUCUAAAGCUAAAUAUUGGCGAGAGACCGAUAGCGAACAAGUACCGUGAGGGAAAGAUGAAAAGAACUUUGAAAAGAGAGUUAAACAGUACGUGAAAUUGUCAAAAGGGAAGCGUUUGACACCAGUGUUGUUUUCUCCGAAAAUCAAUUAACGAAUGGCUUGAUUUUGUGUUGUAUUGACCUUAUCAGCUUUCUUCACUUUUUUCGAGUCUUUCUUAAUGCACUUUUCGGUUAACAAGUCAACAUCAAUUUCUUUUGUUGUAAAAGAGUAUUCGGAAGGUGGCUUUCCUUUCGGAGAAAGUGUUUAUAGCCCUAUACUUCUACAAUCGGAGAGAUUGAGGUCUGCAGCGUAGAUCCUUCGGGGUUAGAUACAUUUGUGCUAAGUUGUAGCUUUUCAUAGACAACUUGUUGACUAUGUUUAGUCAUGCGGCUUACUCGCUUAUGCUAUUUUACCUACGCUUAGGAUGUUGACUGAUAUGUAGUCGUA
rnacentral:rRNA from 1 species